CUUCGCAGCUGUAAACCAUUUCCUCAUCAAACUCGAACUCGUUCACUUUACUCUUCAGGAAACCUGUUUCUUUGAUUGGUUUCACUUUGCUUUCUUAUUUCUAGGCAACUGACCAACACAACGGACGAAAAGGGCUAUGGGAAAAUUUUGGGCGUUGAUUACCCAUUAUACUACUCUUCCUUUCACUUCCUGGGCCGGUGUUGAUGCUAAUGUGCUCCUUCCCUUAUGAGUAGCUGACAUUUCUUCAACUCCAAGAUACUCAAAAUUAUGCAGAAGCUGAAAGAGAAAAAGGUCGCUGAGAUGCAGGAUAGAUUCAAAGGAGCUGGCUAUUAACGUUAAAGUGGUAGUGGAGAGCAUUAUGCAUACAGCUCGCCAUCUUGGUGAGUAUCACGAAAAUGGAAGUACUCACUACUUGGAAGAACACCAUGGGAGGCAAAGUGCUUGCUCCUAAAGUAAGUAUCAUAUAGAUCAAAAGUGCUCGCUACUAAGAAGAGCAUUAUGGGAGGCAAAGUGCUCGUCACUUUGGUAAGUGCCUUGAAUGAAGCACAACGCUCUUCAUGUGAAGGGUAUAAAACUCGUCAUAUCAGCUCAUGAAGAGAGAAAAUAUUAGCCUCGAGGCGAGCACCAUGGAGCAUUGUUGAGCUGAAAAGUGCUCCCCCCAAGUGAGCAUCACAUGAAUAAAAGUGCUACACAUCUCGGCGAGAACCAAGGGAAGCAAAUUGUUCCCCACCCCAGUGAGCACCAUGGAAGGGCAAAUAUGUUAAAAAGGAAAUACUAGCAGAUCCUCCAUCUUCUUCAGCCAAAAAAUCCAACCCAGAACGGCAAUGAUAGAGUAUUCUAUCAAAAAUGGUAGGGUGGAAAUCAAAAGUCACUAAUUAGAGCAGCAGCAACCUCUAUACCCAUGUACUGGAUGUCUUCUUUUCUACUAACAAAGGGCUUUUGUGGUUCUGUAGAUGCCAAACUCGAGACUUUUGUAGAUGUCUUCUUUUCUACUAACAAAGGGCUUUUGUUUUUAUGGAAAAUAGCAUGGAAGGCAAUACCAUUUAGAGCCCAUGCAUGUGUGAACAAGAGACAAUUGAGCAUAUAUUUCUGAAAUGCCAGGUUACGAUGGUGGUAUGGAGGGAAUAGCCAUUGCCAAAAGCCGUCACACUUGUCCAUGGAAGAGUGGAUAAACAAUGUACUGCAUCCCUAAGAAAAGCUGAACCUUGAUGGAGAAAAAGAGCAUGAAUUAACCUUGUGUGCUGCGAUAAUCAUGGACUCAAUGUAGUUCAAUAGGAAUCAGAACGUGCACCGUGGGAAACUUCUAAAUGCGUUGACUAUUGCUAGAGAUGUAAAAAGAACUCCGGAAGAACAUCCACUGGAGGAAUGGAAAGAAGACAACAAAGAGAAAGGCACAUGCUGGUUACAUCCAGAAGAAGGCAAAUGGAAAAUCAACUUCGAUGUUACAGUAAAAUCAAACUGCUCAGCCAUUGCUGCAGUAUGCCGUAAUCACAGGGGACAAAUAAACAGGGCAUGGAUGGAAAAAGUUUAUAUAAAUUCGCUGCACUGAGUGAAAUGGAAAUCAGAGCUGCAAAUGUAGCAUGCAGGAUGGCAAGCAAUCUAGAUAUCAAACAGGUCCAAUUAGAAUAAAGGAUUGGGCCGAGGAAACCAGAGCAGUUCUGAAGUACAAAGUAGGCACACAAUUUAGCUCAAUGGGCAGCAAAGGAUAAUAUUCUUGGUUUCUUUUGGGGCUUUUAUAUUCCACGGCACAUUGUAAAAUGGGAUCGGGUCAUAUCUAUAUAUUCAGCAAAAAAUAAUAAUAAUAAUAAUAAUAAGGAAAGAAUAAGGUUUUCUUAGUUGGAUUUGUUUAUAAUUUAUAUGAUUUAUGAUUUAUCUA